GGAAAUAGUUGUCCUUGCUCCUUGCCCUCUCUGAUAAUUUUGUUUUAGGAAUUGAAAGAAUUAUAUAGGAGAGUUUUUGAAAUUUUAUUCCAUUGCAGUCUGACUGAUUAAUAUUUAGAGGCAUAGUAUAAAAUGCUCCUUCCUAAACCAGCCCCUCAAAGAGGGAGGAGUAGUAGCCUAUGAGCAUAUUCCUGGUAGUUAGUCUUCUGGACAUUCUAGCACUUGGUAAAAGAGAAACUUGUGGGGAGACCAGUAUGAUUCAAUAUACCCUUUUCUGUUCUAUGUUUUUCCUGGAAAAAGAUCUAGCUAUGAAUGGAAGGGUGUGGAGAUGGUGGAAAUAUUCUCACUAGAAAGUACUUGAGCUGUUUUUUCUUCUUAUCUCCUCAAGAAUUCAUUGCUGACUUC
rnacentral:lncRNA from 1 species